UAAUUUGUAAAAUAGGGUGUAGAUCUAAGUUUGCAAACCAUUGGAUUGUCUCUAAGUCUCUUAGUUCAUUUAAAUCUACAUGUUUUCCCUCAUUGACACUCCUAAGUUCGAAAGAGGAAAACUUUUCAGCAUGUUAUUUUGAAUCGAAAAGGGUAAGAUUAAAAUCUUCCACUAAUCUCCUCUUCCCUUUGUCCCUUGAGGAUCUUCU
rnacentral:lncRNA from 1 species